rnacentral:RNase_P_RNA from 1 species
AUUUAACGGUAAUCGAGCUAAGUUUUAUAAACUUAGUUAGGAAAGUCCAUACUAGCACAAGCUGAGAAGCUUGUAGUGUUUGUGCCUAACGAAACAAUAAGUUAGGGCAGCUUAAUGCUGACGGCGAACGAUGGUCUAAGUUUGUCCAUAUGGACAAAUAUGAUCUAGUUCCUAAGGUGCCACAGAAACGAUCUUGCAGGGAAACCUGCAAAUGGAACGGGUAAACCCCACAAGCUAGCAACCCAAAUUAUGGUAGGGGCACGACUGUCCCGGAAAUGAACGGCGACAGUUGGACACAAAAAUUUUUGUGUAAGAUAAAUGAUUACCGCCUAAUGCAAAUUAGGUUACAGAAUAUGGCUUAUGUUA